CCUCGAUUUUCUUUGAAUUUAAUUCUUACUCAAGAUCCUUUAUUUUGUAUUUGUUUUCUAUAAUUCGACUAUAUUACUUCAAAAGACUGCAAUAUUCAGUCAAAAAGACAAUAAAGACUGAUAAAAGUAUGACUGCUAAUUUUUAUAUUUAACAAUAUUAUGUUAUGUUUAUUAAAUGAAAAUUAUUUUUUACAAGUAUUGUAGUCAAUAUUUAUCCUUUUCCUAC